rnacentral:rRNA from 1 species
UACGGAGGGUGCAAGCGUUGUCCGGAUUUAUUGGGUUUAAAGGGUGCGUAGGCGGCCUGUUAAGUCAGCGGUGAAAGUUUAUGGCUCAACCAUGAAAUUGCCGUUGAUACUGUCGGGCUUGAGUGUCGAUGGGGUACAUGGAAUUUAUGGUGUAGCGGUGAAAUGCAUAGAUACCAUAAGGAACACCGAUAGCGAAGGCAUUGUACUUAUCGACAACUGACGCUGAGGCACGAAAGCGCGGGUAGCGAACAGG